UACGUAGGGGGCAAGCGUUGUCCGGAUUUAUUGGGCGUAAAGAGCGUGUAGGCGGCCUGAAAGGUCAGCUGUGAAAACUCGAGGCUCAACCUCGAGACGUCGGUUGAAACCAUCUGGCUAGAGUCCGGAAGAGGAGUGUGGAAUUCCCGGUGUAGCGGUGAAAUGCGCAGAUAUCGGGAAGAACACCCGUGGCGAAGGCAGCACUCUGGGACGGUACUGACGCUGAGGCGCGAAAGCGUGGGGAGCGAACAGG
rnacentral:rRNA from 1 species